AUUGAACGCUGGCGGCAUGCCUUACACAUGCAAGUCGAACGGUAACAGGUCUUCGGAUGCUGACGAGUGGCGAACGGGUGAGUAAUACAUCGGAACGUGCCUAGUAGUGGGGGAUAACUACUCGAAAGAGUGGCUAAUACCGCAUGAGAUCUACGGAUGAAAGCAGGGGAUCGCAAGACCUUGUGCUACUAGAGCGGCCGAUGGCAGAUUAGGUAGUUGGUGGGAUAAAAGCUUACCAAGCCGACGAUCUGUAGCUGGUCUGAGAGGACGAUAAGCCACACUGGGACUGAGACACGGCCCAGACUCCUACGGGAGGCAGCAGUGGGGAAUUUCGGACAAUGGGCGCAAGCCUGAUCCAGCAAUGCCGCGUGCAGGAUGAAGGCCUUCGGGUUGUAAACUGCUUUUGUACGGAACGAAAAGCCCCGGGUUAAUACCCUGGGGUCAUGACGGUACCGUAAGAAUAAGCACCGGCUAACUACGUGCCAGCAGCCGCCGUAA
rnacentral:rRNA from 1 species